UAUGAAUAAUUUAAAGCUACUAAAACAGUUACAUUCCAUAAAAUCACUUAAAUUUCAAGAAGUAUCAACUACCAAUAAUAUUACAUAGAAAUAAAAAAACUAAAAUAUAAAAAUAUCCUUGAAAGCAAUCAGCCUAACCUCUAUUUCUUUUCAAUCGUCACCUUUAUUUUUUUAUUUUGUUGUUGUUGUAUCUUUUGCUCUUCUGAUUGAUUUUGAUCUCUACCUUUGAAAAAGUAGGAGGUUUUUUCCCCUCCAUUAGUCACCAAUUGCGUGUGUUGUUGACACUCUUUCAGAGGGAAUUGUAUUGUAUAAUUCAAGAGCAAACGAUGCUUGUGAUUUGGCUAAUUUCCUACACACAAAAGAAUUGUUCUUAAUCAAAUAUGAUUAAUUAAAUCUUCUAUAAAAGUAACUAUUUAUCACAUAAUUAUUAAUACUAACCUCAUAAAUCUUCCUAAAGUAGUUUAAGUGCAUUAAUAUUAAGAUACACUAACAGAUACAUGCUAAAGAUGACCACGUUAUUCAUAUAACCCCAAAACACUAAAAGAAAAAAAAGAAAAAGAGAUACUCAAUGUACCAAAACUUAUCAAUAGAUGUGUAGCUGAGUGAACCAGAAUUAGAGAAGUAUCAUCUUGACACAAGAAAAGCAAAACUCACAUCUUCGUAAGGAAAAAAAGACGUUUUUCUAAUAUUAACUUGUCUUCUUGUUGUCUUUUGCCAAAUAAUCUUCUCUCCCGUGAUUUUACAUAUAAAAUUUAUACAUACAUAGAGUAAAAAAUAUAUAAAAAAUCAAAUAAACUAACCCAACCCAACCUUCAAUAAAAAAGGAAAAUACUGAAGAUCUUGCUAACAUAUAAUCUGUGUUCAAAAUAUUUAUAUUCACAAGCACAGAAGAGAUAUAGAACAAAAACUAACCCAAUCAACUGCAACCAUCGUUUAAAAAAGAAGCACAGCAGAUGUUGAAGAAAGUGAAAACAAAGAGAGUCCUUGGAGCUAGUUCAUUUUUCUCCUGAAAUUUAGUCCACUGUUUGUCCAUGAUAACUCUAUAAAGAAUCGGAUUUCCCUUGAACUAUGUGGCACCGACAAGAAUUCUAAGCGUAUAAAUUGUAAGAGUCCUAAUGAAAAUUUUAUCUUUGGUUGGAAAUAUAAAUCGUAUCCAAUAUGAAUCCUAACGGAAAUAAACUAUAAACUUUGUAG
rnacentral:lncRNA from 1 species